GACGAACGCUGGCGGCGUGCCUAAUACAUGCAAGUAGAACGCACAGUUUAUACCGUAGCUUGCUACACCAUAGACUGUGAGUUGCGAACGGGUGAGUAACGCGUAGGUAACCUGCCUGGUAGCGGGGGAUAACUAUUGGAAACGAUAGCUAAUACCGCAUAAUAUUAAUUAUUGCAUGAUAAUUAAUUGAAAGGUGCAAUUGCACCACCACCAGAUGGACCUGCGUUGUAUUAGCUAGUAGGUGAGGUAACGGCUCACCUAGGCGACGAUACAUAGCCGACCUGAGAGGGUGAUCGGCCACACUGGGACUGAGACACGGCCCAGACUCCUACGGGAGGCAGCAGUAGGGAAUAGUCGGCAAUGGACGAAAGUCUGACCGAGCAACGCCGCGUGAGUGAAGAAGGUUUUCGGAUCGUAAAGCUCUGUUGUAAGAGAAGAACGGGUGUGAGAGUGGAAAGUUCACACUGUGACGGUAUCUUACCAGAAAGGGACGGCUAACUACGUG
rnacentral:rRNA from 1 species